rnacentral:rRNA from 1 species
UACAGAGGUCUCGAGCGUUAGGCGGAAUCACUGGGCUUAAAGCGUGUGUAGGUGGAUGCCUAAGUACCUUGUGAAAUCCCACGGCUUAACCGUGGAAUUGCUUGGUAUACUGGGUGUCUUGAGCCACUUAGGGGCAACCGGAACAAAUGGUGGAGCGGUGAAAUGCGUAGAUAUCAUGUGGAACGCCAAUGGUGAAAACAGGUUGCUGGGAGUGUGCUGACACUGAGACACGAAAGCCAGGGGAGCAAACGGG